rnacentral:rRNA from 1 species
ACUCCUGCGGGAGGCAGCAGUGGGGAAUUUUGGACAAUGGGGGCAACCCUGAUCCAGCAAUGCCGCGUGAGUGAAGAAGGCCUUCGGGUUGUAAAGCUCUUUUGUCAGGGAAGAAACGGUAGUAGCGAAUAACUAUUACUAAUGACGGUACCUGAAGAAUAAGCACCGGCUAACUACGUGCCAGCAGCCGCGGUAAUACGUAGGGUGCAAGCGUUAAUCGGAAUUACUGGGCGUAAAGCGUGCGCAGGCGGUUGUGUAAGUCAGAUGUGAAAUCCCCGGGCUCAACCUGGGAAUUGCAUUUGAGACUGCACGGCUAGAGUGUGUCAGAGGGGGGUAGAAUUCCACGUGUAGCAGUGAAAUGCGUAGAUAUGUGGAGGAAUACCGAUGGCGAAGGCAGCCCCCUGGGAUAACACUGACGCUCAUGCACGAAAGCGUGGGGAGCAAACAGGAUUAGAAACCCUGGUAGUCCCAUGA